rnacentral:lncRNA from 1 species
UAACUGACGUUGUUUUUUACUUUUUACUUUUUAAAAAAGACUAAAAACGUUUUGAUAUUAUACAAUGUAUUUGUUUCAGAUAAGGUCAUUGUCAUUUAGUAUAUAUAAUUAAUAUAUGUACAAGUUUAAGUAAAUUCCUGUGAGUAAAAAUGGACUUAUCACAAAACAUAGUUCUAAAGAAAGGUAUAUGCUCAUAUACACGGUGUCCAUUAAUUUAAUGGGAACUAGGUAUAACUUCAGGAGAAUUUGGCAAAUAAUUCAUUAAUCCAUGUAAAUAUUCAAAAGCUUGUUCUAUCCACAUUAUUUCAAGGGAUCACUUUAUUUUUCAUUAUACUUUCACAGCACUUUUCUAGUAAAUUCUGUAACACAGAAAUUCCAUUUUGGAAUCAUUUCAUGUUACCAAUAAUUCUAGACUUUUAUAACAUUUAACAUGUUGAUGGAAAUAGAUUACAUCUGCUAGAACCUUUUGCCUUAACUAUUCACCAAUAUAUGCUAAUAUUCAUAAAUAUGGAUUGACUGUUUACAAACAUUAGAAUCUUGUCUUGGUUCCAUUUUGAUGGCUAAUAUUUGUUAUCUUAAUUAAGACUAUUUCUGAGGUCAUGAUUACUUGAAAAUAUUGACUAAAACUGGGUCCUUAGAAAUUCCAGGUGGAGCUGAUUUACCUAUGACUGAGGGGAAAAAAAAAUCAAAUUUUACUGAUAAUAGUAAUGCUCCAAAUGAAUUAAUGACACAUCUGUUCAAUAAAUAAAGAGCUUAAAUAUACAAAACAUAAGAAAUCUGGGCAACAAAACUUGUGGUCUUUACUUUUGAAUAGCUACCCAAGAAAAGGUUUUAAAGGUAAAAGUUAUGAGUAAUGUCAUCACAAUAAGCUCUUGUUUAAAAUUCUUUUCUUUUAUGUAUAAUUAGGUUUAUGUUUCAUGUCUUUUUAAAACCUUAUAAAAGAUUUAAUUAUCACAUCUAUUCUUCAAUGUGGAAAUAUUAAAUAUUGUUGGUUGUAAAAUAA